rnacentral:rRNA from 1 species
GUCUAUAGCCAUACCACCUUCAAUAUGCCUUGAUCUUGUCUGUUGGAGCUAAGCAGAGUUGGGCAUAGUUAGUACUUGGAUGGGAGACUGGCUGCAAAUCCUGGGUGCUGCAGGCU